CGCAAUCUCGGCUCACUGCAAGCUCCGCUUCCCGGGUUCACGCCAUUCUCCUGCCUCAGCCUCCCGAGUAGCUGGGACUACAGGCGGUGCGCCGUUUUUUAAGCCCGUCGGAAAAGCGCAGUAUUCGGGUGGGAGUGACCCGAUUUUCCAGGUGCCGUCCGUCACCCCUUUCUUUGACUCGGAAAGGGAACUCCCUGACCCCUUGCGCUUCCCGAGUGAGGCAGUGCCUCGCCCUGCUUCGGCUCGCACACGGUGCGCGCACCCACUGACCUGCGCCCGCUCUCUGGCACUCCCUAGUGAGAUGAACCCGGUACCUCAGAUGGAAAUGCAGAAAUCACCGUCUUCUGCGUCGCUCACGCUGGGAGCUGUAGACCGGAGCUGUUCCUAUUCGGCCAUCUUGGCUCCUCCAGGCCAAUUUACUUUCAAAAAUACCUGCAUCCAGGAACUCUCAUGCUAGCAGGAUGAGGUAAUGACUAUUUCCCAUACUCGUGUCAACUUUGAGCAAUGCUAGGAAUUUCCAUAUGUCCAAACAACUGUUUAUCAGGAAAUGCAACAAGGUACUUUUGACACUGAGCGUGAAAGGAACUCAUUGAACCAAAAUCUUCCAAAAAGACUGGAACAUAAGAGAGCGGAUGAAGAGCAUAAUAGAAGAGAAGUGCCAGGGAGGAGGAUUAUCUUAGGCAGAGCACACUGAGGAUGGAGAGUUACCAGCCCUCCCGAGCUGUCGUUGGCACUGAACCAAUGAGAGCCAUUCAUGUGCCUGUCUGUGCCUUGUGUUUUUCUUCUUCAACAUAUACUUUAGAACAUCCAUUCUGUGCAAAGCUCUGUGCCCACAGCUGUUGAGAUGCCAGAUGCAUGCUGUUCCCUGCCCUGAAGACCCCAGCAGUCAGGCCAGGGAGAGAAGACAUUCUUAGACAACCCAACAGUCGUCCCUGGGGAAAGCUCCUCAAAGGCUCGAAGCCAGCCUGAGUGGGCCACUUGAAGAGCCACGGGCUGUGGGAAGAUACGGAGAGGCUACUCCGACGUGGGGAGGAGGAAGCACGGUUUCGGGGAAGUGGCCAAGUGGCUUAAGUGAGGAGGGUCUGCUUGAAGGUGGCAGGUCUGCUUGAAGCGGCUUCCUGAAGAGGUGAGCUUAUCACCGGCAUCCUGUGUCCCUUCAGGUUCCCUGAGAACUGGGUCAAGAAAGCAGGUUGGGGUAGGAAACAAACGACACCCCCAUUUCAAACAAUAACUUUUAUUUUAUACUUCUCUAUACUUUGUAGCAAAUCUUUUUUUGCUGAAUUUAAUUUAUAAUAAACUUUUUAAAUUACAUCU
rnacentral:lncRNA from 1 species